rnacentral:rRNA from 1 species
GAUGAACGCUGGCGGCGUGCUUAACACAUGCAAGUCGAACGGGAAAUAUUUCAUUGAGACUUCGGUGGAUUUGAUUUAUUUCUAGUGGCGGACGGGUGAGUAACGCGUGGGUAACCUGCCUUAUACAGGGGGAUAACAGUCAGAAAUGGCUGCUAAUACCGCAUAAGCGCACAGAGCUGCAUGGCUCAGUGUGAAAAACUCCGGUGGUAUAAGAUGGACCCGCGUUGGAUUAGCUAGUUGGUGGGGUAACGGCCCACCAAGGCGACGAUCCAUAGCCGGCGUGCUAAGGGGAGCGGCCACAUUGGGACUGAGACACGGCCCGGACUCCUACGGGAGGGAGCAGUGGGGAAUAGUACACAAUGGGGGAGACCCUGAUGCAGCGACGGCGCGUGAAGGAAGAAGUAUCUCGGUAUGUAAACUUCUAUCAGCAGGGAAGAUAGUGACGGUACCUGACUAAGAAGCCCCGGCUAACUACGUG